GACGAACGCUGGCGGCGUGCCUAAUACAUGCAAGUCGAGCGGACUUUCAAGAAGCUUGCUUUUUGAAAGUUAGCGGCGGACGGGUGAGUAACACGUGGGCAACCUGCCUGCAAGACGGGGAUAACUCCGGGAAACCGGGGCUAAUACCGGAUAAUAUCUUCCUUCGCAUGAAGGAAGGUUGAAAGGCGGCGCAAGCUGCCGCUUGCAGAUGGGCCCGCGGCGCAUUAGCUAGUUGGUGAGGUAACGGCUCACCAAGGCGACGAUGCGUAGCCGACCUGAGAGGGGGAUCGGCCACACUGGGACUGAGACACGGCCCAGACGCCUACGGGAGGCAGCAGUAGGGAAUCUUCCGCAAUGGACGAAAGUCUGACGGAGCAACGCCGCGUGAGCGAAGAAGGGCUUCGGAUCGUAAAGCUCUGUUGUCAGGGAAGAACAAGUACCGUUCGAACAGGGCGGUACCUUGACGGUACCUGACCAGAAAGCCACGGCUAACUACGUG
rnacentral:rRNA from 1 species